CCUACGGGUGGCAGCAGUGAGGAAUAUUGGUCAAUGGGCGCGAGCCUGAACCAGCCAAGUAGCGUGAAGGAUGACUGCCCUACGGGUUGUAAACUUCUUUUAUAAAGGAAUAAAGUGAGGCACGUGUGCCUUUUUGUAUGUACUUUAUGAAUAAGGAUCGGCUAACUCCGUGCCGGCAGCCGCGGUAAUACGGAGGAUCCGAGCGUUAUCCGGAUUUAUUGGGUUUAAAGGGAGCGUAGAUGGGUCUUUAAGUCAGUUGUGAAAGUUUGCGGCUCAACCGUAAAAGUGCAGUGGAAACUGGCAGCCUUGAGAACAGUUGAGGUAGGCGGAAUGCGCGGUGUAGCGGUGAAAUGCUUAGAUAUCACGAAGAACUCCGAUUGCGAAGGCAGCCUACUAAACUGCCACUGACAUUGAUGCUCGAAAGUGUGGGUAUCAAACAGGAUUAGAUACCCGAGUAGUC
rnacentral:rRNA from 1 species